rnacentral:lncRNA from 1 species
AUGAGCGGUGCCAUGUCCGCGCCCAAGAUCCGAACCCUUGGCCGCCUCAGCGGAGCGCCUGAAUUUAACCACUUGGCCACGGAGCCAGCCCCAAAGUCAAUCUUGAGAAAGAAGCUGGAAUCAUGGCGAUUGGAAGAAGUGGGGAGAGACACACUGGGAAAUUGGAGCAAAGAGUCAUGGUGUAUCAAGUUGUUUUCUAUUAAAUGCUCUGCAAACCCAUGUAUCUUGAGCAUCAGUCAGCACUUUAACCUACUCCCACAGCUGCUCUGGACGAUCAUCCCUGGAGGAAAGGGAGCUCAGUGAGAGGCAACAUCCUCUUCCAAACAGAAGAAGGUAACAGUGCCUGGGCUCACCCAUAGAGAGGUUAAAUCAAUUAACGGAAAUACUUGAGAAAGACCUACAUUUCCAACAAAACCUCCCCCCUUGAUGGGCAUGCUGCUGGUCUCUGGACUCCCAUGUUUCUCACUGAGUGGCAAGAGGAAGUCUAGGCUCUUAUUCAUUUCUAGUAUUUCACACCUUGCAGUGUGGGUCUCACCUCCGGAAAUGGUUAGUUGCUGUUUUCAGACAUCUUAGAGAACAGUUUGAAGGACAUUUUGGACGCAUCUUAGCCUGAGUCAAUUGAAGAGAUUUCUGAGCUACCUUGGGCAAGUUCGGCAGCGAGAGCAAUGAGUGCUUCACUCCUGCUGCUUCAUGGCAUGUUAGCUUGGAAGAGGCACAGCCUGUGAAACCUUAGGGUUGGAAUCCUUAUUAGAUGCCUCUUUUUAGCUAUGUGAUUUGGGGCAAACUAUUUUGUCUCACAGCAUGAACUUACUCACUUGUAAAGUACAUAAUUAUUCAUAUCAUUAUUAAUAUUGUUAAAUUUAAAAAUAGAAGUAAAGCAUUUACUGAAUCUCUUACGUCCUAGACAACAAGCAAUAAUUCUAACAUUGCCAGGCCACUUUUCCCCUCAUCCCGUCUGUCUCUUUCCUUUCUUCCCUUCCUUUGUGACUUCCAAUAGAUCUGCCACAAGAUAGAUAGACUCCAUAUAAGAAAAAAAUGCAUGGAUAGAAUAAAGAGUAUCACCUACUUAGCUACUACUGUCUA